rnacentral:lncRNA from 1 species
AAAACAACAGUCCAAAUGUCCAGAUAUUACAAAAAUAAGUCAGUCCCAAUGUCCAGUUAUUACAAAAUUGAAACAAUCAAAACGCCUAAUUACUACGCGGCCAUCCUCUUAUCAUUAGGCACAUUAGAGCGAAAGGAAGGGAAGACAUGGUGGGGAUUCAAAAAGGAAAAAUAAUAGCUGCAUUUCUUCACGCUAAGGAAAAUAUUUCACUCGAGCUUCAUACAUUAAUGAGCAUUGAAAUGUACCUGUAAUUCAGUAGAGAAUGGAAACCUAUGAGUAAAUACAAUUAAUCAGCCAAGCAAAACUAUAGCCAAUGGAACAGUACAUGCAAGUUUUCAGCGGUGUUUUGAAAAAUUGAAAAUCCCAAAAGAAUAGGGACAACACUAAUAGUUUCUCACAGAUAUAGGAAGAACCAAUGUGUAUUUUUCUUUAUAGAAUUCAAAAGAAAAGUUCCGGAUCCUUUUUAAAAAAAUGCUCAGAUGGUUUCUUUUAUAGUGGAGCCUUAGGGCAUUAUUUUUCUUUUGUUUUUUCCUUUACUCCCUGAGUUAGAUUUCAGCUUUUUCUUAAAUGAUCCCUCAUUUCCUGACUUGCGCCUCAAGUUUGAGGUAGAAAUUGUGUUUUAGCCCCUCACUAGAAUGUUCUAGGGGUUAUUACUAGCUUCUUUUUAAGGCUCAAAUCCCUUUUAUACCCCUUUUCUAUCCUGAGUUUUUUUAACCUAAGUUAUUCCAUGACCCUGGUCGAUUGUAUUUGGGUUAUGGGCCAAGGUUUGGCUUAGAUUAACAGGUCCAUUGGAUCCAUAAAACUAAGUGUCCUAAUAUGGAUUGGCUUAUCAGUUAUUAUAACUUAGGAUCAUAAACAUUCAGGUAUCUUUGUACUAAUACCAAUGGAUCACUAUCAACCAGAAAACCAAUCAACUAAUACUCAUUAUAAGAAAAUCCUAAUUAAAUCACUCAAUAAAAGCUUGAAGCACGGAUUGAACACUUAGUUCGUGAACAAAAUUAGAAACCAAUUAAAGGUUCAACCAAACAAAUAAGCCUAGACUAUGGCAAUACCGAAAAUCAAAAAUUACUAUGAAAAUCAAACACAUAGUAGCAUUAACGCCUAACCAAAUUUAUCAGAAUAUCAGGGAAUAAAACAAGUGAAGACGGAUUGAACACUUUGUUCAUGAACAUAAUUAGGAAGCAAUUAAAGGUUCAACCAAACAAAUGAGCC